AACGUAGGAUCCGAGCGUUAUCCGGAUUCACUGGGCGUAAAGCGCGAGCAGGCGGUACGGUAAGUUGGAUGUAAAAUCUCCUGGCUCAACUGGGAGAGGGCGUUCAAUACUGUCGAACUAGAGGGCGGUAGAGGGAGGUGGAAUUCCCGGUGUAGUGGUGAAAUGCGUAGAUAUCGGGAGGAACACCAGUGGCGAAGGCGGCCUCCUGGACCGCGCCUGACGCUGAGAUGCGAAAGCUAGGGGAGCGAACGGG
rnacentral:rRNA from 1 species